AAUAAAUUAAGUAAAUAAAUGUUGGAAUAUGUAUAUAAAUUCAUUCAUAUCGCGUUAUUGCGGUUGAUAUUUUAAGGCAUACAUUGUGGACAUAAAAGAGUUUGGGAAAGUAAGAAAUAACUCACUUUUACAUCUUUAAUUUUUAAUUAAACUCUAUUGUUCUGAUUUUUAAAACUUACUUAAGCAUCAAAAACUUAAAACUUAAGUUUUUGUGGUUUUCCCCUUGAGUUGAGGAUUUUGACAUAUGCCCUAACCGAUGUCUUUAUCUCGGCCAUUUCGUAUCCGAUUCUUGAGCGGAAUACCUUAAACGAUUUGUACACCGAUUCUCCAUCAUUCUGAAUCAAAAACUAGGAACAAAAUAUUUUUUAGAUUUUUCUUUAAAUUUUCUGGGGGAUCCCCUUCGCAAUGAUGAAGAAUGCGUAGAUGCCCGAUAUGACCCCCAGUGGAGGCUAUAUCUUUGCCAAUUUCUAUCUGAUUCUUGAGCGGAGUACCUUAAUUGAUUUGUAGAUAUGUUGAUAUGUAUCUGUGUAUAUGUGGGGGCUUCUCCAUCUUUCCCUUGUGUCUUUUCUUUAUCCUGUCUGCUGCUUAGCUUGCAGAUUUAGCUUGCGAGUGCCCUCAAUUAAAGGAUUUCUUUUUUGGUACAGAGGUCGUUAGGCCGCAAUAUUUUUAUAUCCUUGCUAUUUUUAACUCCUUGAAAUAGACUUCAAGUAGAGGAUACCCAUAACUUUAUGGAAGCUGAGACUUUCUUUGUUUUUAAUUUAUUAAAUCAGCCAUAUAAAUGUAAAAUAUAAUCCGAAAUAUAGUUGCCAGGGUGUAUAAGCUUACGAAGCUUGUAAAACAACUUAAUAUUUCUAUAAUUUUGAAAGCAAAACAUGUUUUUUUACAAAUUAUAAAACGGAAAUUGUAAUCCCUUAUAUUUCGGUUGCCUACUUUUAAGGUCACACUGAAGUGCAUUUGCAAUGAAGAGUAAAAUGGUACCGUUAUUUUGGAUAUAAUAACAUUGCUGAAGACCUUUGAAUUUGGAAGCAAUUCAAAUAAUAAAAUUAAAAAAUUUAUUAACAAAAUAGCGCCCUCCUCCUCGAUUCUCAUAGGUUGCACUUAAGCGAGCCUGAAAACUGAAAAUAAUUUAUUUUUUUUGUUGUAAAUUUUGUUAUUAAUUUCGUUUCUUGUUUUUGUAAUGGUUCUUGUUGUUGUAAUGUUUUUUUUAGUUUUUUAUAACUGUUCUUUUUUGUAAUAUUUUUUUUUUGUAAUUUUGUUUUUGUUUUGUAUGUGUGGCCAGGAACACGUGUCCCUGCCAUAUAGCCACAACACUUUUUAAAAAAAACUUCAAUUGUCAAAUGAAGCAUGCUUGUUUUCGAAAUUCCCUCCAUAAAUAUCGGCCAUUGCUGGGGGUUUUCAUUCAUUUUUCAGUAUUAUUUUUUUUGAUAUAAAUAAUUUUUUUAUAUCGGCCUAAAGGCCUAAUGUCCCGAGGCUUAAUAUAGAAGACUUAGGCAUAGAAGGCACCCAGAAGACCCAUGCAGAUGGUGAAGGACGAGGACAUGGAUACGAUCAAAGCCGGACUAGGAAGCGCCCACCAUGAAUGGCCAGACAAAAGGAAUGCGACGACAGCUGUAGCACAGGAAACCCUGCAAAAUGGAGCAAGUUAUAUACAAGAUAUCCCCAGACAGCCCUGAAAAUUACUAACAAAGAUCAGGAACCAACGGACCCCAAGGUGAUUCCUCCGAUGAAGCACACCCGACAGGUAAACCGAUAAACCCGAUGACCCCAGUGACUCCUCUGAAGAAGCACAUCCGACAAAAGGUUAUCAUGAUGCUGCCAACCUGCCACCACCACCACCCCCCAACAGCCAGUUUACCCCUAUGUUUGCCCGGAGCCAGGCGGCCAAGGACCUGUGAGGAUACGAGUCACGAUCAGCCAGUUGGAGCCUCCCAGACAUUUAACAGACUAGUUAAAUUUUAUGUGAAAAGGAAGAGAGCAUUAAAAAGUUAUAGAUCCUUCUUCGUUCAACAUCCUUGGCGAUCUGGUGGAUGUCCACAGUGCGUAUGCGCAAUAUGGUUAGUGAGAUUACGCAUACGCAGUGUUGGCUAUGAAAAUGGAUUCCAAAACCUAAAUUUUUGUCAAUAUUGGAAGUUCCAAUUGGAACAUUUUAAAUGUAUGUAAGUAAUAUUUGAAUGCAUAUACAGAUGCUCUCAUAUUAAAAAUUAUACGCCAGUCUAAUCUAAAUUUUCCACACUGACCGAAAGACCUCGAAGAACUCUGUGAUGGCAAUCCACAAUCAUUUCAAUCGAUUACGAGUUUUCUAUGUACUCAGCACUCAAGAAACUAAUUGCACAGCAUGGUCAUAGAAAGAGAUGGAGGAAGUGCCAGAGCGAUAGAGAGAAGAGGGCGGAGGAGCAGGGAAGGCUAAGCAGAAGCAAGCAGAACUCUUAACUAGCCAUAAUUGUUAUAUUUUUCAAGCACAUUGUAGUCAUAUGCGUGUCGUUAGUUUGCCGAUUCUGCAACAGUCGCAACAUCGUCAUAAUCAUCGGGCUGGCGGUCGCCGGGAGAGGAAUACAUUUCUCAAGGUUACGCAUACGCCAUGUAUGCCACACUGUGCCAGGCAAUGCAAUUCCAUACGAUGUGAGCACAAGUCUAGUCUAAACAAAUAGACUACAAACGAGCGAGGCAAUGCAAAUAGCAAUGCGAGAGAUACUGAGACGCGGCAUGGACACUUGUGCAUUCCGUUGAUAGAAUUUCGUCGCUCACAUGUCGUCGCUUCCAUAUACAUAUAUGCGGUAAUUUGGGAAUUGGAAGGAAUUUUAAGAGCGGGAGGGGCUCUAAGCAGCUGCUUUUUUCAGCGAACAAAGCGUUGAAAGUGUCAAAAGGCCAAUGUCUCAACCAUCGAUUGAAAUUCUGGCUUAGCUGCUUAGCUUUGCUUGCCACUCACAGAUGACAGUUUUACUUUUUAGUCGUCAACUGCUCUGCAUCUUGCUUCUGCACCACCUUCUCAAAGCAACACUAAUUGCUAAAGCAAUACUGAAGCGUUAAAUAUUUUCCCAAGAACUAAUAAAUGCACCUGCAAAAGCAAAAGAAACUGAGCAACUAUCAGUACCACACAAAUACUAUUUUUGCUUAUUUUAUUGUUAUAUUUAAGACAUCAAAAACUGUUUUUCUAAUUGAAUAAACAGAAGGAACCGUCUUCGAAAAUUUAAAUGGACUCCAAAAAGUCUGAAUUGGUCAAAGCAUUGUUUUCACAAUCAAAGUGACAAAGUGUGCGGGCAUCAAUCAGGGGAAGGAAAAUAUAGGAUUCCUCUCCAUUAUUUCGGUUGUUCAAUGAGAAUUUUAAAUUGCUAUGCAAAUUUUCUACCGCUGCGGGGUCGGAUGGAGUCUUCCUGGUGGCGGAGUGAAGCAGUGAGUUGAUGGCGAGAACAAAAGCGCCAGGGAAACGCCAUAAUUCAAGUAGCCGCAGCGAUUUCAUGCCUGAUUUCAAUUAUCAAUAUGCGCCAUCGACAGCAGGCGACAGGCAAGCCUCCGGCAACCCAAACCAAAUCGAUUUGGAACCCAGGCCAGGCCAGGGCAGAAACCCAACAGAAGUCACAAAGCCCGAGGCUGUGGAUGCGGCAGAGGAAUGAAGGAGUACGCGAGGAGCAAAGAAGCUUCAGCCGACACGUCCAACAAUUGAACAAUGGGCACAAAUCAUUUCAUAUGCCAAACGUGUGGUCGAUGAUUGCCCGGCUGCAGCACUCUCAAAAGAAGAAAAAAAGAAGUGUUUGAUUUAUCAAAGACUAUGACUUGAAUACUCUGACUUUAUAAACUAAUAUUUAAAUAAAAACUCUGAAAAAUAUAGAUGUGAACUAUUAGUUAAUAAUAUUUCUUUGGACUAUUUUGCUUAAAUUUGAUAAAUAAAUUUCUUUGAAAAGUUCAACUUAUAAAUAUACCCAUUAUUAAUGCAAAACUGUAGUAUUUGUUUAAAAAUAUCAAUACCCCCAUAAAGAGCACCCUCGAGACAAAACUCACUUCAUCAUUCUAUAUACAAUCUGAAGUCUUGUCUUCUCUUUGCCAUAUUUUAUUUUAGAUCAGACUUUGUCACAUUUUUGGGCAGUAAUUUGUUU